GAUGAAGAACGUAGCGAAGUGCGAUAAGUAAUGUGAAUUGCAGAAUUCCGUGAAUCAUCGAAUCUUUGAACGCAAAUUGCACUUUCUGGUAUCCCGGAGAGUAUGCCUGUUUGAGGGUCAGUGUAAUAAAUAAAUCGUGGUUGUUGCCACCUUUCGUGGUGACGCUUCGGAAUUGAGUCGUCUUGUCUUCGGUUAAGUGACUUAAAAUUUUUUCAUACGAUUUCGAAACGUAUUUAAUGUGUAUUAGUACGUUUUACGAAUAUCGAAUGUUUAUUAGGUGCGGUCAUUUUCAUGAAUUCGCGUCUAUAAUUUUUUUUUUUUUGACCUCAAAUCAGGUAAGAAUACCCGCUGAACUUAAGCAUAUCAAUAAGCGGAGGA
rnacentral:misc_RNA from 1 species